rnacentral:rRNA from 1 species
CCUACGGGUGGCUGCAGUGAGGAAUAUUGGUCAAUGGGCGUAAGCCUGAACCAGCCAAGUCGCGUGCGGGAUGAAGGUUCUAUGGAUUGUAAACCUCUUUUAUAAGGGAAUAAAGUGUGGGACGUGUCCUAUUCUGUAUGUACCUUAUGAAUAAGGAUCGGCUAACUCCGUGCCAGCAGCCGCGGUAAUACGGAGGAUCCGAGCGUUAUCCGGAUUUAUUGGGUUUAAAGGGUGCGUAGGCGGCCUUUUAAGUCAGCGGUGAAAGUCGGGGGCUCAACCUUAGAAUUGCCGUUGAAACUGGUGUGCUUGAGUACGUUAGAGGCAGGCGGAAUGCGUGGUGUAGCGGUGAAAUGCAUAGAUAUCACGCAGAACCCCGAUUGCGAAGGCAGCCUGCC